rfam:Sphingopyxis sp. RIFCSPHIGHO2_12_FTLL_65_19 rifcsphigho2_12_scaffold_4473, whole genome shotgun sequence.
CGCCCAUCCCCGGGGAGCCGCGUCUGCAAUGGCCGGUUGAGAGCGGAAUAGACCGCGACCCGUUGAACCUGAUCCGGAUAAUACCGGCGGAGGGAGGGUCGGUAUUCCGCGC